GGACAGAUGGCCGAGCGGUCUAAGGCGCUACGUUCAGGUAACUUACCAUUCUCGGUGACCAUCCCGCUUCGUAGUCUCGCAAGAGGCGUGGGUUCGAAUCCCACUCUGUUCA
rnacentral:tRNA from 1 species